CAGCCGCCGCGGUAAUACAGAGGGUGCGAGCGUUAAUCGGAUUUACUGGGCGUAAAGCGUGCGUAGGCGGCUUUUUAAGUCGGAUGUGAAAUCCCUGAGCUUAACUUAGGAAUUGCAUUCGAUACUGGGAAGCUAGAGUAUGGGAGAGGAUGGUAGAAUUCCAGGUGUAGCGGUGAAAUGCGUAGAGAUCUGGAGGAAUACCGAUGGCGAAGGCAGCCAUCUGGCCUAAUACUGACGCUGAGGUACGAAAGCAUGGGGAGCAAACAGGAUUAGAUACCCGCGUAGUCCCUGUCUCUUAUAC
rnacentral:rRNA from 1 species